rnacentral:rRNA from 1 species
GAGUUUGAUCCUGGCUCAGAACGAACGCUGGCGGCAUGCCUAACACAUGCAAGUCGAACGAGCCCUUCGGGGUUAGUGGCGCACGGGUGCGUAACGCGUGGGAAUCUGCCCUUUGCUUCGGAAUAACUUCGGGAAACUGAAGCUAAUACCGGAUGAUGUCCUCAUUAGAGAUAUUGGGGACCAAAGAUUUAUCGGCAAAGGAUGAGCCCGCGUAGGAUUAGGUAGUUGGUGGGGUAAAGGCCUACCAAGCCGACGAUCCUUAGCUGGUCUGAGAGGAUGAUCAGCCACACUGGGACUGAGACACGGCCCAGACUCCUACGGGAGGCAGCAGUGGGGAAUAUUGGACAAUGGGCGCAAGCCUGAUCCAGCAAUGCCGCGUGAGUGAUGAAGGCCUUCGGGUCGUAAAGCUCUUUUACCAGGGAUGAUAAUGACAGUACCUGGAGAAUAAGCUCCGGCUAACUCCGUGCCAGCAGCCGCGGUA